rnacentral:piRNA from 1 species
UAGCUGCAUGUUCCUCCAAGGCAAACCAUGC